GCCGGAGUGGCGGAAUGGCAGACGCGCUAGACUCAAAAUCUGGUGCCUUCACAGGCGUGAGGGUUCGAUCCCCUCCUCCGGUACCA
rnacentral:tRNA from 1 species